rnacentral:rRNA from 1 species
GAAUCACGCUGGCGGCGUGCCUAACACAUGCAAGUCGAACGCGAAAUGGGUUCGGCCCUGAGUAGAGUGGCGAACGGGUGAGUACACGUGGGUGAUCUACCUUCGAGUGGGGGAUAACGUUCCGAAAGGAGCGCUAAGACCGCAUGACGUUCCGGGUUUGAAGACCUGGCAACCAAAGUCGGGGACCGCAAGGCCUGACGCUAGAAGAGGAGCCCGCGCCUGAUUAGCUAGUUGGUGAGGUAAUGGCUCACCAAGGCGACGAUCAGUAGCCGGACUGAGAGGUUGGCCGGCCACAUUGGGACUGAGACACUGCCCAGACUCCUACGGGGGGCUGCAGUAACGAAUCUUCCGCAAUGCACGAAAGUGUGACGGAGCGACGCCGCGUGUAGGACGAAGCCCUUCGGGGUGUAAACUACUGUCAGGGGAAAGAAAGUUCUGAUCUACCCCAGAGGAAGGGACGGCUAACUCUGUGCCAGCAGCCGCGGUAAGACAGAGGUCCCGAGCGUUAGGCGGAAUCACUGGGCUUAAAGCGUGUGUAGGCGGAUGCCUAAGUACCUUGUGAAAUCCCACGGCUCACCCGUGGAACUGCUUGGUAUACUGGGUGUCUUGAGCCACUUAGGGGCUACCGGAACAAAUGGUGGAGCGGUGAAAUGCGUAGAUAUCAUUUGGAACGCCAAUGGUGAAAACAGGUAGCUGGGAGUGUGCUGACGCUGAGACACGAAAGCCAGGGGAGCAAACGGGAUUAGAUACCCCGGUAGUCCUGGCUGUAAACGAUGUCGACUAGAUCGUGGUGGCUCUGACGCCAUCACGGUCGAAGCAAAAGUGCUAAGUCGACCGCCUGGGAAGUACGGUCGCAAGGCUAAAACUCAAAGGAAUUGACGGGGGCUCACACAAGCGGUGGAGCAUGUGGUUCAAUUCGAAGCAACGCGCAGAACCUUACCUGGGCUUGACAUGCUAGGAUUAUCCCUGUGAAAGCAGGGUAGGCCCUUCGGGGUACAACUAGUACAGGUGCUGCAUGGCUGUCGUCAGCUCGUGUCGUGAGAUGUCGGGUUAAGUCCCUUAACGAGCGAAACCUUUGCCCUUAGUUACCAGCGGGUUAUGCCGGGGACUCUAAGGGGACUGCCGGUGUCAAACCGGAGGAAGGUGGAGAUGACGUCAAGUCCUCAUGGCCUUUAUGCCCAGGGCCACACACGUGCUACAAUGGCGUCCACAAAGCGAACCGAGAGCGCGAGCUGGAGGAAAUCGCACAAAUGACGCCCCAGUUCAGAUCGGAGGCUGCAACUCGCCUCCGUGAAGUUGGAAUCGCUAGUAAUCCGGAUCAGUACGCC